UGGGGAAUAUUGGGCAAUGGGGGAAACCCUGACCCAGCCAUGCCGCGUGAGUGAUGAAGGCCUUCGGGUCGUAAAGCUCUGUGGGGAGGGAAAAAGCGAUGUCCCGUGAACAAUGGGGUGUUGUGAUGGUACCUCCUUAGCAAGCACCGGCUAACUCUGUGCCAGCAGCCGCGGUAAUACAGAGGGUGCAAACGUUGCUCGGAAUUAUUGGGCGUAAAGCGCACGUAGGCGGUAUCGUAAGUCCGAUGUGAAAGCCCCAGGCUCAACCUGGGAAGUGCAUUGGAUACUGCGGAACUUGAAUCUGGAAGAGGGUCGCGGAAUUCCCGGUGUAGAGGUGAAAUUCGUAGAUAUCGGGAGGAACACCAGUGGCGAAGGCGGCGACCUGGGCCAAGAUUGACGCUGAGGUGCGAAAGCGUGGGGAGCAAACA
rnacentral:rRNA from 1 species